rnacentral:rRNA from 1 species
GAUGAACGCUGGCGGCGUGCUUAACACAUGCAAGUCGAACGAAGCACUUUAACCUGAUUCUUCGGAUGAAGGUUUUUGUGACUGAGUGGCGGACGGAUGAGUAACGCGUGGGUAACCUGCCUCAUACAGGGGGAUAACAGUUAGAAAUGACUGCUAAUACCGCAUAAGACCACAGAGCCGCAUGGCUCGGUGGGAAAAACUCCGGUGGUAUGAGAUGGACCCGCGUCUGAUUAGGUAGUUGGUGGGGUAACGGCCUACCAAGCCAACGAUCAGUAGCCGACCUGAGAGGGUGACCGGCCACAUUGGGACUGAGACACGGCCCAGACUCCUACGGGAGGCAGCAGUGGGGAAUAUUGCACAAUGGGGGAAACCCUGAUGCAGCGACGCCGCGUGAGCGAAGAAGUAUUUCGGUAUGUAAAGCUCUAUCAGCAGGGAAGAAAAUGACGGUACCUGACGAAGAAGCACCGGCUAAAUACGUG